UAGGGAAUCUUCGGCAAUGGGGGGAACCCUGACCGAGCAACGCCGCGUGAGUGAAGAAGGUUUUCGGAUCGUAAAGCUCUGUUGUUAAGGAAGAACGAGUGUGAGAAUGGAAAGUUCAUGCUGUGACGGUACUUAACCAGAAAGGGACGGCUAACUACGUGCCAGCAGCCGCGGUAAUACGUAGGUCCCGAGCGUUGUCCGGAUUUAUUGGGCGUAAAGCGAGCGCAGGCGGUUAGAAAAGUCUGAAGUGAAAGGCAGUGGCUCAACCAUUGUAGGCUUUGGAAACUGUUUAACUUGAGUGCAGAAGGGGAGAGUGGAAUUCCAUGUGUAGCGGUGAAAUGCAUAGAUAUAUGGAGGAACACCGGUGGCGAAAGCGGCUCUCUGGUCUGUAACUGACGCUGAGGUUCGAAAGCGUGGGUAGCAAACAGG
rnacentral:rRNA from 1 species